rnacentral:rRNA from 1 species
UUAAAAAUGAAGCCGGGAAACCGGUCCUUCUAACCCUUGAUUAUUUUCACUUGUUGCUUUGGUAGGUCGCGAGCGCUUAGGCGUGAGCACCGGCUUUUGGGCUGGAGAGUGCCUACCAGAGGACCCCAACUCUGUAAUUUAUGUCGUCUGAGUACUAUAAAAUAGUUAAAACUUUCAACAACGGAUCUCUUGGUUCUGGCAUCGAUGAAGAACGCAGCGAAAUGCGAUAAGUAAUGUGAAUUGCAGAAUUCAGUGAAUCAUCGAAUCUUUGAACGCACAUUGCGCCCUCUGGUAUUCCGGAGGGCAUGCCUGUUCGAGCGUUAUAAUGACCAACUCACCGUAAUGGUGGUCUUGGGGAUGGCCGAUAGGCCUCCCUUAAAACUAGUGGCGGUGCCGUCGAGCUCUAAGCGUAGUAAUUUCCUCGCUAUAGCGCCUCGGUGGUUACUAGCCAGAACCCCAAAUUAUACAAGGUUAACCUCGGAUCAGGUAGGGAUACCCGCUGAACUUAAGCAUAUCA